AUGGGACGCAGGUUGGAUCCUAUGAGGAAGAAGCGUGAGCCAGUCUGAAAGGCCCAAAAAGAGAAGGGUACAGAGACCGAACUGGUAAGAUUUUUGCCUGUAGCUGGUGAUGAGAAUUUUAAGAGGCUGUCAAGUCGUGCUCGAAAGAGGGCAGCCAAGAGGAGGGCGUGGUCUCUUGAAGUCCCUAAACCAAAUACAUCUCCUGGAAUUAAAAUAUUACCUGGAGAGUUAUCCAAAGGAGCAGUUCAGCCUCGAGAUGAGAAGUGCGCAGCACCAGUUGAAAACAGUAAUGAAGAUGAGGAGGAAGACUGAAGAUGGUGUGGUGACCCAGGGGGACCUUUGGGGCUCUGAGGACAGUAGUGAAGAUAGGUGGAUGACUAUGGAACUGUCUUUAACUCGGAGCACGAGGAGGAAAAGUUGUUGCCCUAUUAAAAGAGCUGCUCUGAAGCAGAAGGCCUGGGACACCGCAGCUAGGGGGCAGUGGAGUGAAAAGGAUACUGAUGACAAUGAAGGUGAUGGUGUUUCCCCUAAGUCCCAUCCUAGAAGGGAUGACAAAGCAGAGGGGGAUUUGCAGAUUAAUGUAAAAAAAUAAGGAAGCCUUUGUGCCGCCCCCUGCUGGGGAGAUGGACCAGGAUGCCCAGGCUCCAGACCUGGAUCACAAGCGGAUCCAGGAUAUAGUUGGAGUACUUAAGGUUUUGGGGGCUCAGUGAGGAGGCCAGUCUUGAACUGAGUAUCUGAAUCAGCUUCAGAAGGAUCUGGCCAUUUACUAUUCUUAUGGAAACUUCCUGUUAAGUAAGCUCAUGGAGCUGUUCCCUCUGUCUGAGUUGAUAGAGUUCUUAGAAAGUAACGAGGUACCCUGGCCAACACCUUGAAAACCUGUCUCCGAGACCUUGCUCAAGCCCUGAUCAAUCAUGGGGUUAAUCUGGAUCCAUUGGGAAAGUGGUCAAAGUUGGGACUUGCGGUAUAUGAUUCUUCAGUGCCUAUUAGCUCUACUCCCGAGUACCGUGCUGGACACUAUAUGCUGCAGGGAGCUUUGAGUUUGCUACCUGUCAUGACCCUGGCACCUCAGGAGCAUGAGCAGAUCUUAGACGUGUGUUGUGCUCCUUGAGGAAAGACCAGCUACAUAGCUUAGCUGAUGAAGAACACAGGUGUGAUCCUUCAAUGAUGCCAAUGCAGAGCGGCUCAAGAGUGUCGUGGGCAACCUGCACCAAUUGGGAGAAACCAAUCAGCCAUUAUGAUGACCUUCAGAAGGAACUGCUGCUCAGUGCUAUUGACUCAGUCAAUGCUGCCUCCAAAACCAGAGGCUACAUGGUCUACUGCACCUAUUCUAUUACGGUGGAAGAGAACGAGUGGGUGGUAGACUAUGACUUGAAGAAGAGGAAUGUGCGACUGGUGCCCACUGGCCUGGACUUCAGCCAGGACAGUUUUACCCGCUUCCAAGAAAAGUGCUUUCACCCCAUUCUGCAUUCGCUUCUACCCUCACACUCACAAUGUGGAUGGUUUCUUUAUCAUCAAGUUCAAGAAAUUUUCCUAUUCCAUUCCCCAGCCCCACGCAGGAAAUUUGGCAGCAGCUACCCCUACAGAACCUGACCUGAAGGAUCAGGUCACCCUAAAGUCUGAGAACAGUACUGUCAGCCCACCGAGAAAGCCCGUGGGGCUGCAAAAGCAAAGCAGCAGUUGUCUGUCGAGACAGAAACAUUUCAAGAAGUCCUUCAGAAGGUGAACAGCAUCUCCAAAGGGCUAGGCUUGUUGAGUGAAACUUCUGUCCCAAUGCCCAAGUGUCUGCCAGGUCCCGGGAAAGCAGUCAGCUUGAUGGGAAAGCCGAAGUGAUCAGGAAAGAAAGAGGGCUGGGAAGCUGAAGCAACAGCAACCUAAAUGGAAGCUCUCCAAGGAAGCUGCUUUCCCAAAACAGAGUGCCCCUUUCAAGGGUGAGGACUCAGGAACACCUGCUGAGCUGCCCCAAGGCCUAAGGAUGGUGCCCAGAAGGAAGGAAGGAAGAAAGAAAGAAAGAAAGAAAAAGAAAGGGAAGCAGCAGUUAUCAGAGCAACCUGCCAAGAGAGCUGCUUCCCUGCAAGAAGAUGCUGCUCCCAAGGGACCCUCAGCCCCCACUGUUUCUCCCCACAGUUCCACCAAGCCCUCGCCAGCAAAAAGGAGGAAUUCUAUGAGAAAGGGCAGCAGCCAGCCUCUGUUGUCUUGA